UACGUAGGUGACUAGCGUUGUCCGGAUUUACUGGGCGUAAAGAGCGCGCAGGCGGUCGAUCAAGUCGAGUGUGAAAGCCCCCGGCUCAACUGGGGAGGGUCAUUCGAUACUGAUCGACUCGAAGGCAGGAGAGGGUAGUGGAAUUCCCGGUGUAGUGGUGAAAUGCGUAGAUAUCGGGAGGAACACCAGUGGCGAAGGCGACUACCUGCCUGUUCUUGACGCUGAGGCGCGAAAGCUAGGGGAGCAAACGGGG
rnacentral:rRNA from 1 species